CUGCUGUGUCAAUAAAGUUUAUUCAAAGUCUCUCUGCGGCAUCAAUGGCGGCCCCCAUGACAUGGAGGAGGCUGGUGGUCUCCGUGUACUCGCCGGCCAUCACCGGGGUUUUCACACGAAUAUCUGACCGGCUUUUCCGCGCGCGGGACCGGAGAGGAGGGUCCUCGGUGCUGCUGCUGGCCCCCCUCCUGGCCGAGGCGGACCCGCCCCCCCGCCGGGUCCCCAGGCCCGCCGGGUCGACCGGCGCUCAGGGCUCCGGCGGCCUCUGCGCCCACUUCCAAUGGAUGGCGGAACACGUGCCGGCCUUCCGCGUGCCGGGCAACCGCAUCCACGUGCUCACCUCGCCCGACCACUUCUACCAGACCAUGAAGGCGCGGAUCAAGACGGCGAGGAGGCGAGUGGUGAUGGCCUCGUUGUAUCUAGGAACCGGUCAGCUGGAGCAGGAGCUGGUGGACUGCAUGGAGGAGGCUCUGCUGCGCUCGCGGGAGAACGCCGACGCCCCCGACCUGAAGGUCUCCAUCCUGCUGGACUACACUCGCGGCUCACGAGGACAGACCAACUCCAGGACCGUGCUGCUGCCGUUGCUGCGGCGCUUCGCCUCCCAGAUGAGGGUGUCUCUGUACCACACCCCGGACCUAAGGGGCCUGCUGCGCCUGCUGGUGCCGCAGCGCUUCAACGAGACCAUCGGCGUCCAGCACAUCAAAGUCUACCUGUUUGACGACAGCGUCAUCAUCAGCGGGGCCAACCUGAGCGACUCGUACUUCACCAACAGGCAGGACCGCUACGUCCUGCUGGAGAACUGCGGCGAGGUCGCAGACUUCUUCUCGGACCUGGUGGACGCCGUGGGAGACGUUUCCCUGCAGCUGCAGCCCGAUGACUCGGUCACCAUGCUGGACGGCAUGGUGCACCCGUACAAUGGCAACAGGCAGGCGUUCUCCGUGGCGGCGAGGAAGCGGAUCAUGGAGGUGGUGAACACCGCCCACGUGAGGCAGCAGCUGCUCAACGGGUCGCAGGACUCUGAGGACGACGGGGUGAGCGAGGAGGGGGACGACACCUGGGUGUUCCCUCUGGUCCAGAUGAAGCCUCUGGGGAUCCAGAUCGACGAGCAGGUCACGCAGCGCCUGCUGACCGACGCCGGUCCGGACUCGUCCGUGUUUCUAACGUCGGGUUACUUCAACCUGACGCGGCCGUACAUGCGAAUGGUGCUCGGGGCCGGCGCCAUCUACCGCAUCCUCACCGCCUCGCCCGAGGUCAACGGCUUCUUCGGGGCCAAGGGCGUCGCCGGCGCCAUCCCCGCCGCCUACACCCUCAUCGCCAGGCAGUUUUACGGCCAGGUGUGCCGGCAGGGGCAGCAGGAGAGGGUCCACCUGCACGAGUACCACAGAUCGCAGUGGACCUUCCACGCCAAAGGUCUGUGGUAUUACCUCCAGGGGCAGGAUCGGCCCUGCCUCACUCUAAUCGGCUCCCCGAACUUCGGUUACCGCUCGGUUCACCGCGACCUGGAGGCUCAGAUCGCCAUAGUUACGGGGAACGAGGAGCUGCAGGGCCGGCUGCAGGAGGAGCAGCAGACUUUGUACCAGCGGUCCAGCGAGGUGUCCGUCGCCACGUUCGAGCGGCCGGACCGCCACGUCAAGCUGUGGGUGAAACUGGUCACUCCGCUCAUCAAGAACUUCUUCUGAAGGACGCAACCAGGCGCAUCUGUUUUCAAUGGGAAAAUGCCUAAAACCACCUGCUCGGCACCAAGCUGACGGAGUCCAUUAGCAUCGGUUAGGGAGCGCAGCUGAAAAGCCGAGCGUAUCCUGGUGGAGACCAAAACCGAGCCAGAAGAAGAGUUAAUAAAUAGAAAAUUCCACUCAUGACUAUACAUGCUGCUGGUUGCCCGGGCCUCUCUAUGCUGACAAGUUUGCAAAUUCAAAGAAAAACAUGAAUAACUUCAUCCGUCAAUUAUAGCUGCUUUAAAAAAAAUUUAAAAAAGUUGAGCCAAAGAUUUAAAACCCCUAAACUGACAACCUGUAGUGUUGUGUUAAGUAGCGCCAAAUGGAAAUACUCAAGAAUAAUUUGAUGCACUUAUACUUUUAUAGAAAUGCAUUGCUGGUGUAAACGUGGUUUCCACCACUGGGUUCAGAGUUCUCCAUCAAGAAUACGAAUAUGACUGGAAUUUUCCUUUUUAAGCACGUUUUAGGUUCAUGCGUCGUCUCGCUGUUUUUUUGCUUAGUGGACAAAAUACAGCCCUGAACAUAUUGUACAGAAACACGCACACACAGACACGGACACCGGCUGUGGCUUCUUAGAAAUGCCUGCAGUCAUUGUGGUCCUCGGUCGCGUGCUCGUUUUACCAGCAGCCCGAAUCACCCAAAGGUGGAGCGCUGACGUCUGCUGACUUCCUCCCGUCGCCGUGUGAGUCGUCGCCGCGGUGACGGUGCGACCACGUGGUCUGUGCUACCGGGAGUCCGAUCAGGACUUGGCUGUGGACGGAUCAGAGGGGGUUUCAUCACGCCUGACACACACACACACACACUGUUGAAACGGCGGUAAAACGGUGGAAAAAAACACCAAGAUAUGUUGUUUUUCAUUCCUUAAACUAAUGGGCUGGACAAAAGGAGACGUCUUAACGUGUGCAGACCAAGAUUGCUGUGGUUGUAUUUUUUGUUUCUGAGAACAGGAAGUAUCACAUGCUCGACUCUUACGGUAAAUGGGUGUUGUCUUAACUUCACCUGGAUAGAGACAAGAGGGGGAGAAGAAAAAAGGAACGUCCGUAACCGAUCACCUUUCAGAGCUCCUCCGAGGACACGCAGGCCCUUUGUUGUAAACGUGAUGAGACGACCAAGAAGUCCUGGUUGUAUUUGCUCGAUAAACAUCUUGCAAACCUCUGGAUGACAGAACAGAAAAAUGAUGCAGCGACGGAGAGGUUGAAAACACUGUUCCGUAUUUUGCUGCUCUGUAUUUUUGGUUAAAUAUGUAUAUGAAAUAAGAACCUGUUAUUGUGACUUGUAUUUAAGGAUUUUUAGGAGGAAGCAGUGGGAUUUGGGGUCUUUACAUACAUUUUUAUAAACUUUGAGGAAACUCAUUCAAAAUACUUUUUUUGUGGUUUAUAGUGUAAUGUAAUCUUGAAUAUUCUGUAUCAUUUUAACAUCCACAGGAUGGAUUCUAAUCUUUUCAAAACCAGUUGUGGAAAAAACACAUCAGGUCUAAUUCUUCUUAGUCGGUGAGGUAUAGAUAAGAUUUUGUCUUUGUCAGGCUUUUCAGUUCAAUUAAAACAAAUGAAACCUUUGAAACAACUGAAUAAUAUAGACACUGUUGUGUUUGAUAGAAGGGGAAUAACAAUUGAAACACUUCUUUUUUUUUUUUUAAAUUGUAUAUGCUUUGUUUGUUCAAAUCAAAUCAAAUCAAAUCUGAUAUCUUGAAAGGACUCUUCUAAGGAAAACAAACAAACUACUGCAUGACUGCCUGAAUGCAGUCUUUUAGGUUUGCAGAGCAGACCAGUUACUCGUGUUUUAUAUCUGUAUGACAUCUGCGCUUACUGCUUAUCUCGCUUUAAUUUUUGUUCCCGACUAAGGAAGAAAACAAAACAACGCCCUCCCAACAACCACUUUAGCAUUCCCGGUCAAAAGUAACAACCUGUGCUGGAGUCUCACCAAACACGUCGCAGCGUCUCGUCUUCUCCCGUCACGUUGAAGCCUUGCGUCGAUGGAGCUGGGCGCCCUCUAGUGGCAGGGCUGCCGUUUCCCACUGGGGUCGCGUACCCUGAACUCACCACCGCUGCCUGUUGCGAGCUGAGCGCGCACGUGUUGUUAGAUAACCGGUCGGCCUCGAGCAUGACGAUAAACGCGUGAUCAGCGGAGUCGUGUAAGGAUUGUGACUGAUAAAAGGAAGAAGGAUUUUACGUGUUCUUGGGGUUGAAGGUCGAGUUGAUGGUGGCUUUUGAACAGGAGGGAGUCUGCAGUGUUCUUGGGGUUGAAGGUCAAUCUUCCUCCUGCAGAAGGGAAACGUCCUCUGCUUCAACAGUGGGUCCAGGAAGUGACUCACAACCAAGCAGAGAGGAUGGUUUGUUUUGAAUUUCGCUCAUCUGUUUCAGUCGCAACAUCUUCGGUCUUUACACUUGAGUUUUUUUGCUACAAGCGAGCGUUAUAAAACUACAGACAUUUAAAAAAAACACUUCUACUGCAUCACGUGCAUCUCCAGGUAGAUGCUGCAAAUAUUCGAUUGCAUGUGAAGGUAGAGAUUGGAUUGGUGAAGAAUUACGAUCCCUUAAGGCCUUACUACGUUUUGUAAGAGUAAUCAGUAAUCAGAGCCGGCCUGUACAGUGUGUGUUAUCUUUGUAUAUUAAAAGGAGGAGGUGGUGAGUUUUUACAAUAA